UGGGGAAUAUUGGACAAUGGGGGCAACCCUGAUCCAGCGAUGCCGCGUGUGUGAAGAAGGCCUGCGGGUUGUAAAGCACUUUCGGUGGUGAGGAUUGCAACUUGGCUGAUAAGCCUGAGUUGUUGACGUUAGCCACAUAAGAAGCACCGGCAAACUCUGUGCCAGCAGCCGCGGUAAUACAGAGGGUGCAAGCGUUAAUCGGAAUUACUGGGCGUAAAGGGCGCGUAGGUUGGAACAUAAGUCAGAUGUGAAAGCCCCGGGCUUAACCUGGGAAUUGCAUAUGAUACUGUGUUUCUAGAGUGGAGUAGAGGGCAGUGGAAUUUCCGGUGUAGCGGUGAAAUGCGUAGAUAUCGGAAGGAACACCAGUGGCGAAGGCGGCUGCCUGGACUCUAACUGACACUGAGGCGCGAAAGCGUGGGGAGCGAACAGGAUUAGAUACCCGCGUAGUCC
rnacentral:rRNA from 1 species